rnacentral:lncRNA from 1 species
AACUUAUAAAUAACUUAUUUCACAUAUAUGAUUUCAAUUUGUUCUUUAGAUACAUCACCAGAGCUUGGACCAUACACUCCGAGUUUAAUUUAAACUCCAACACUGCCCUGCCCCAUUCCAGAGUCUUUGAAGAGACAGGCAAAACAGAAAUCUGUCAUCUCCCAGCCAGACGCUCAGUUUCUACAGCUUGAAGCUGUGUGAACUGCCAGCUGCAAUCAGCAGGGAGCCUUCUCACGCAUCACUUGUAGAAGUAGGCUGGGUGCUCUGGCAGCUGCAUCAGAGAAGUGACUCUAACACGUUCGAGCACAUUCGGGCUGCCUGAAUUUUCUCCUCUCUGCUAUGGGUCCUCAUCCUCUGAGUUUGUGUUUUAAGACACAAACAAGACUGAACUUCCCUCCCAUGUGACUUGCUUUGGCCAAAGCAAUGUGGGAAUAUGCACAAAUGUUACAUCCACAUGGAAGUAUCUUAUAUCCUGUGC